AAAAGUUUCAAUGACUUAGUGGAGCUAGCUACGAGCCUACUAAAUACGAACAACUCUUGUCGUGUUGCUUGAAAUUUCUCAUAAUUACAAACAGUCAGUCACGGAUUAAUCGCCCGCGCUAAUUUUUUGGUUAUAGAGAUUACUUAUAAUAACUGUUAAUUCUGAAUAUGAGCUAAAGGGAUUGGNAUGGGGGUAUUAACGUUUAAAAACGAUAUUGCCAAAUAGUAGGGUUGCAGCAUUUUCAGUAUGGCUUUUCUUUUCAGAGAUAUAAUUUGAAAUAUCAAAUGCAAAUUAGAUGACGUACAUUCAAGAAUGUGUUACAUUUUGCAGUGUAAUUUACGACAAGAGUCUGAAGUGAAAUAACCUAUCAAAAAGUGUACAAAAUCAUAUUUCAGCCAAAUAGUUUAGUUCCUGGUGGGCUAAUUUUUCAAAACCUGCUCUAAAACAGUUAAAAACCUCUCAGAAUGACGUUAAAAGCCAUUAUCAAAAACAAAGGAGCAAGGUAUGUUCAAAUCUAUUUGAAAAAUUUCAUAUUUUUAUCGUGCCAUACAUUUACUGUAAAUUGCUACACGCCACAAAUACUUUGCUCGGGCUGCCUGUGGUCUGCAAUUUUGUUUGUUUGCUUGGUUAUGAUUGAAUAAUCCCGCUGGCAGCCGCUGGCCGGAUGUUGCACCGUUCCUAGUGUCACCUGCGCAUGCUCACCUAGUAAUAUCUUUCGGCAUUACAACAGGGAAGGGCAAGAUUUUCAAUGGUUUCCUUCUAAAAAUGCCGAAUUCUAGCUCUCCAAAGAANCUGAGCUCGAAGCAAAUUCCCAUAAUUAGUGCCACAAUCCUCCUAGUCGGCACGACGACGUUAUUUUUUGUAUUCGUAUGUCCACCUCUUAUUAGUAAAUACUCAUUAGGCAUAGCAGUCUACGAAGGACUACUUGCAUUUUUCGUACUGGCAAAUUUCGCGCAUGCAACGUUCNAAGAUCCGGGCAUCGUUCCGCGAGCACCAUCUAACCCAGAAUAUGAGGAUGACUUCAAAGCUCCUCUCUACAAAAACAUAGACAUAAAUGGCAUAACAGUGCGUAUGAAGUGGUGCGAGACAUGCCGGUUCUACCGUCCACCCAGAUGUUCUCACUGCAGUAUCUGCAAUAACUGUAUAGAGAAAUUUGACCAUCAUUGCCCUUGGGUCGAUAACUGCAUAGGCAAAAGAAAUUACCGAUACUUCUUUUUAUUCGUUCUGUCUCUUUCAAUACACCUUACUUCAGUGUUUGCUCUUUCGCUGGUCAAUGUUCUGGACAUGAACUCAGACAUCCGCAAACCAGCAGUCAUCAUUUCUAUUAUCAUAAUGGUGAUAUGUUGCUUGGCAGCAAUCCCAGUAUUUGGUCUUACUUUCUUUCACAUUGGUCUUGUUGGCAUGGGAAGGACAACCAAUGAACAGGUAACUGGCAAGUUCCGCAGUGGACAUAAUCCAUUUGAUAAAGGCUGUAAAAAAAAUUGUAGUUCUGUCUUAUGUAUCAGCCAGUAUCCAANAUAUUUAGGAUUUAAAGAGAAGUAUCAAAAGCGACAAAAGAAGAAGGCUAGGUCAAAUAAAAAGACUACAGGACCAGAAGAAACAGAAUUAUCUGAUGUGAGGAUACAAGUAGCUAGAGAUGGACCAAAGAAUNUGUCAGGUGCACGUGCUCUGCGUCCAGAAUCAUUUGUCACUGCCAUCAAUUCCACACCCCAGUCUACAUACAUUAGUGCCGCUAAUGGUAGAGUAUUCAGGCCUAUAAAUGAGGUGACUGUAUGAUAACAGCUAAAGGACAUUUGUGCAUUGAUAUAAGGGCUGUUAUCCCAUAACACCUGCAUACAUGCAGAANCUACACCCAAUCAAAUCAUCCUCACUUGUUGGGUAAACUGGCUUAACAUGAUAAGUGCACCACAAUCUUUACUCUCUCUCAAAGUAACCNGAGUGUCUCAAAUGAUAUGGCUUUUGUGUCCUCUGUACCUAAAUUAAAGAAGAAGUUCACAACAACAACUUCACAUCACCACUAUCAUUGAGUCACAAGGAAAAAGGAGAAUUAGCAUUUGAUAUGAUGGGAGCAUUAGCAAUGNUUUCCUAGAAAAUGUUGUCAAAGUGACAAUACAGUACCUGAGGUGGUUGUUGUCAUUGACAGUAGCCUAGGUGAAGGUAGCUAUGGUUAAUACUAUUACUGAUAGUUACCUUUGGAAUAGUGAUGGUUGCUUAGGUAAAUGUCACUUUACAUGGUGAUGGCUAAGGUUGGUGAAACAAAUAUUUUAGUUACCUUGGUGAUGGUUGUUUAGGUAAUUAUAACCUUGGUGAUGGUAGCUAGNUUAAUACUAUUGCUGAUGGUUGUCCUGGUAAUAGAGAUUAUUGCUUAUAGUGUUUGGGCAAACAUAGUAACUUUAGGCAAGGUUGCAUAGNUGAUAGUUACCCAAGUGGUGAAUGCUAAGAGUGGUGGAAUGAAGAUCAUUGUAACCAUGGUGAUGGUUGUCUAGUUGAUUGUGACUUUAGUGAUGUUUGGUCAUGGUGGUUUGGCAACAUGAUAGUUACUAGUUCAGGGCUCGAAAUAGCAGCCUGCUAAUGGCCAAAUGACANGCCAAAUUUCAGGUUUGNCAGGCNAAAAUAACAAUGCAUUNCCNANUGANUAAUAAAAUGACAUGCAAAAUUUACUGGAAUGACCUCCAUUUACCAUGCUCCUUUACUUUGGCAGGCUGAAAAAAUUUCUAUUUCAAGCCCUGUAGUUUCAUAAUUGAAUGGGUACAAUAGACCUUAAUCGUCUUGGUGCAAUAGUUUCCCAUUACAGACCAUGUGUCAUUCCGUUAAAAAAGUUUCAUUGUUUCCUGUUGUAUCCAUAUACAUCUGUCUUCCCAUGCUCAAACUUUAAGCAAAGAAAUAAUACUCUAGGAAAUGACACAUGGCCUAAAAUGGGAAAACAUUGCACCAAGACAAAUAAGGUCUAUAGUUAUGGAGGCUGAGGCAAAGAUUUUAAUAACGUUGUUGAUGACAGAAGGCAGUGUCCUCUGGUUACUGACUUUUCUUGCAUACAACUGUUCUCACAAGAUGUGUCGUUGCAUAACUAAUGCUUUUCAAAAAUUACUUGACACCAGGAGAAUGAGCUUUUAUCAGGUAUUCUUAAAUUAGUAAAGUAGAAAAAAUAAUUACCAUAGCAGAAAAGAGCAUGUUAAAAUCAGCAAAACAGUGAACUUUGAAGGAAAUAACUUCAACAUAUAAUUUUUGAAAAGUGUGAAUUUCGUAAGAAAACCUUUGCUGAAGGCAAGGGGUGCCUCCAGCAGAAUCACUUGCAUACAAAAUUUCGAUAUUUGAUAAUUCGUAUCUUUGCAAUUUUUGAACUUCCUUCAAGCUUCACAGAUUUACUAACAUCCUUUCUGGCAAUGGUACUAUAAUUUUUUUUCUGUUUUUCAAGUUUUGGAAUUACAAGAUAAAAGCUCAUUGGCAUAACACUAUUUACAAGUUUAUCCUUUUAGCACUCGUCAAUCUUGUUAUUUCUUGUUGUUGCUGAUGUUGUUGGUGCCUGGAAUUGUGGUGAUGACAGUAUUGAUGUUUUCGUAUACAAAUUGUUUCAUUAGUCUUUCUAUAUGUUUGCACUUCUAUAAGUCAAUAGUGUUUCUUCUCUCUGCUUCUUUACAGUUUUGAUUAAGUCUGUAUUUUAAGCUUUUGGGUCUUGCUGGAUGCUCAUGAUAUGAGAAGAUUAAGCUCUUUCCAUAGGUUGCUAUCAUGUCCAAUCUCGUAGAAUUCUUACCAGUUGAAUGGCAAGUUUUCUGUUAUGUACAUGGAUAGUUGAGCAUGCCGAACAGUGUCUGCCCUUCACAAAAAGCUGUUAAUGAGAUUUAUAAUAUAUAACAAUUAUUUGCCAAAGCAAAAUAAUUAUUGGUGAAUAUUUACCAAACUGCAAGUCUUCGAGCAACGAGAUAGAUAUUCCCCAUAUUCACUUAGCCUGAGUUGAAUAAUCGUUUUAAUUUAAAACUUGAAAAUCAGAGAAAAGACGAAAUUCAGGAUAAAAAAACGUUUUAGUAUUUUUCACUCUGGCAAACCGUUUGGCAAACUUCAAUAAAUCAAAUAUUCAAUUCUAAUAUUAUACUAAUCAUAUUUAUUCAGUUGAUUGAUACUGAACGACUGGGUCUCUUCCAUGCGUUUUACGAAAAUAUUUNUCUCAGGUUAUAUACUACUCGCACUUUAAUGUUUACUGAAAUUUUCAAUAUUGUGCUAACUUGGCAGUUUCGACUUUUGGUUAGCAUUUGAUUUUGGGCUCCCUUUGAUCAAAAGUGCAACUCGNAGACACAGAGUUCACGUGUUUUUGAAAAAUGCAGUAAUAAUAUAUGUCUGUGCACGAGUUUCGAGAAGCUCUCACUAAAAAGUCUUGAUGAGCAAAAUCUUCUCAUUCUUGAUACCUUGCGCACUGACUGUUUUUCUGCCCAUUUUAGCAUGCGCUUGUAAAAUUCUAAACACUUUCCCCAUUUAGCAGANAACUAGGACAAUUUAAGNAUAUUUUNCAGUCGAGAUAUUCGAUCGUAUUUCGUACGGCUCGAAACUUAACANUNCCAUCCCCACGGGAUAAACAUAUANAUGAGNUACGUNAACAUUUCACUCGCACACUAUUUGUCGUCAGAACUAUCACGAAAUAGAGGUUGCAUGUGAAUGUGGAAAAAUGUGGUGCGGCCAUAGCAUAAGGCCAUCUCUCCUUGAGCAAAUACCUUUUUUGCGGGUUGUGAUUGAUUUGAAAGGCGGCCUUCGUACCGUGACCGUGCCGUGGCCCGUGCCCUAACUUUCCACGAACAUUUCAAACUACCUUAAACACUCACAAUGGUACAAUCUGUACUCGAUACACGACUGUUGCCAUAACAAUACAACUGUUAUGUCAUCCACUGGUCUCUUUAAUCACAAAUUGUAAAUAGCNGCAUUAAUAAUAGUAAUGAUCUGUAGAUAGUGGUCGAUAUUAUCCUCGACAUACAUAUCUAUAUGUACAUUGUACAUUGUAAAGUUAUUUUGUAAAAACUCUAACAAGCAAUAAACUAAUUAACNAAUAAAUUGAACUGCUCCUC
rnacentral:misc_RNA from 1 species